rnacentral:rRNA from 1 species
AACGAACGCUGGCGGCAGGCCUAACACAUGCAAGUCGAGCGAGGGCUUCGGUUCUAGCGGCGGACGGGUGAGUAACGCGUGGGAAUGUGCCCUUCUCUACGGAAUAGCCCUGGGAAACUGGGAGUAAUACCGUAUACGCCCUUUUGGGGAAAGAUUUAUCGGAGAAGGAUCAGCCCGCGUUGGAUUAGGUAGUUGGUGGGGUAAUGGCCUACCAAGCCGACGAUCCAUAGCUGGUUUGAGAGGAUGAUCAGCCACACUGGGACUGAGACACGGCCCAGACUCCUACGGGAGGCAGCAGUGGGGAAUCUUAGACAAUGGGGGCAACCCUGAUCUAGCCAUGCCGCGUGAGUGAUGAAGGCCUUAGGGUUGUAAAGCUCUUUCAGCUGGGAAGAUAAUGACGGUACCAGCAGAAGAAGCCCCGGCUAACUCCGUG